rnacentral:rRNA from 16 species
UUGAAGAGUUUGAUCAUGGCUCAGAUUGAACGCUGGCGGCAGGCCUAACACAUGCAAGUCGAACGGAAACAUGUCUAGCUUGCUAGAUGAUGUCGAGUGGCGGACGGGUGAGUAAUGCCUGGGAAUUUGCCUUAGUGUGGGGGAUAACUAUUGGAAACGAUAGCUAAUACCGCAUAACACCUACGGGUCAAAGGGGGCUUCGGCUCCCGCGCUAAGAGAAGCCCAGGUGAGAUUAGCUUGUUGGUGAGGUAAAGGCUCACCAAGGCGACGAUCUCUAGCUGUUCUGAGAGGAAGAUCAGCCACACUGGAACUGAGACACGGUCC